rnacentral:lncRNA from 1 species
AGUGGGUGCUCAGGGAUGUAGGCUGUAGGGCUCCAGGCUCUGAGUUGAGGAAAAUUGGAGUUAAAUUUCAGUGAAGUAACCCUGAGCAAGUCAGUCUCUGUCCAUCAGGUUCUUUUGUUUGUAAAAUGGAGGUAGCCAUGAGGAUUGUUCUGAGAAUGAGUUAAAUGGAAAGAUAUGCUCAAGAUGCCAGCGCAAAGCCAGAGACUCAAGGUUCGCAGCUGGUUGGAGCAAACCUCAAUGUCAGUGUGAAUCUUCCACCAUGGGAUUCAAGCUGCCUUGGCUCUAAAGUAAGAUCACAGCUGCAGUGAGCUGACCCCAACUCAAGAUGGAACCAUCUUAGAACAAGGUGCGGAGCGAGCCCUCUGAACCGUAUGGUACCUGAGAGGCGAGCACUGUUGUCCCCUCUCACAGGUGGGAGACUGAGGCUCAGAGAUAUGCAGGUAGUGAAUGGAACCACCCCAGAGCCUUGUUCCAGCAAAGUGUCACCCCUGCACGGUGAUGGUUUGAUGGUGGAGGGAGAGCUACCACCCAGAGAACCCGGGGGUUCCCCUUCCACUCUUCUCACCCCGCACUCCCCCUGCCCCAGCAGCUUGCAGGGGCUGAGCAAUUAACUUCCCUGCCUCAAACCCUUUAUCAGCUCUUAGGAUAAAAAGCCAAAGCUCUCUAAUGUGUUCUGUGAUAAAGAAGACUAUGGAACUGACAGUCCAAACCGAGAAACUGGGGAGAGAGAGGAGGCAUUAUUGUCAACUCCAGGUCAUCCAACCUGUAAGGCCCUGGAUGGUCCGGCCCCUGUCUCCACAGCCUCCUCCCACCCAGCCCUCCUCAUCUGUGCCAGUCUCCAGCCCACCACAGCCCCUCACACAUGCUGUUUCCGCUGCCUGCAACACUGUUCCCUGCCUUUUCACCUCCCUCACACCUGCCUGUUCUUGAGCAUCCCAGGGAAGCGUCCACUGAUGCCCUAAUGGUGCAUCCACGUCGGACACGCUCCAAGCCCAAGUCCUCUCCCCUGCGCCAUCUGGGCUGGAGUUUCAGUUUGUUUGUAUAGUUUUUUGGGUUCUCCUCUUUUCCUGCCAGGUUUUAAGCUUUUUGUCAGCAAGAACCAGCCCUAUUUUAUUCAGCCCUGGAGCGGCCUCUCCACCAGGCACACAGCUUAGCACAAAGCAGGCCUCAGAUGCACGCUGGACAAAUGUGCUGGUAUCCUCUGCAUCCUUAUGGCCAGCAUGAUCCAUCCAGAAACCCAGUGGAACUGAGCCGCGAGCUGGAUUCCAGCUCACAGAACACACCAAGAACUCUGGUGAAACAUCAAGAACUCUGGGGGGUCCCCCCAGAAAAAUCUGGGGGGCACUGCAGAGCUUCUGACACGGCUCUGGGGGAAAUCCCACACGGAUGGGCAGCUGCCUGCAUCUGGCACUGUGGAGGUGGGCGGGCAGCCAUGGAGGAUGGGGAGACUCAUCUUUCUAGACUUCUCCUGGGGACCGCAUUUCCUCCAGCCUCCAGGUCCAGACCAAAAUAGAAUGAGGUAAAUUCAGCCCCUUUCCUGAAGCACACUCAAGGAAUAAACAAGCACCACAAAUACA